AAGACCUUGCACUUUUGGAGCGGCCGAUGUCUGAUUAGCUAGUUGGUGGGGUAAUGGCCUACCAAAGCUUCGAUCAGUAGCUGGUCUGAGAGGACGGCCAGCCACACUGGGACUGAGGCACGGCCCAGACUCCUACGGGAGGCAGCAGUGGGGAAUUUUGGACAAUGGGCGCAAGCCUGAUCCAGCCAUGCCGCGUGAGUGAAGAAGGCCUUCGGGUUGUAAAGCUCUUUCAGCCGGGAAGAAAAGGUUGCGACUAAUAAUCGCAAUCCAUGACGGUACCGAAAGAAGAAGCACCGGCUAACUACGUGCCAGCAGCCGCGGUAAUACGUUGGGUGCGAGCGUUAAUCGGAAUUACUGGGCGUAAAGGGUGCGCAGGCGGUUUUGUAAGUCAGAUGUGAAAUCCCCGGGCUUAACCUGGGAACU
rnacentral:rRNA from 1 species